UUUUAAAGAAAUUCAGUUUAGACAUAAACUUUCCUAGAAAAAUAGUCUACAAACUCAGAUGGCAUAACUAGUGAAUUAUAACAUUUAAAAAUAAAGCAGUACGCUCAAUAAAUGCUUCUAGGUUAUAGAAAAAGAGAUCCCCAUCCAGAGACACAGGAUUGAAUGGAUUCUUAGUGUUCUUUGUACAUACUACAGCAGUGAACAGUAAUAAACGACAGAUAACCGCAAUAAUAUGGAGGAAUUGCAUAAAUAUCAGAUAGGAGUGAAAAACACAGACAUGAAAUUCACAGUGUAUGAUUCCCUUUAUAUAAAUUCAAAAGCAGGUAAACGUUAUUUAUAACAUUAAAAGUCAAGACAGUGUUUUGGAGAGGAGUCAGGAUAAGUGAUGAGGGCAUACACAGGGGUGGAACUACUAGAGCUGGAAACUUUUAUUUCAUGAUCUGACUUGUAUCACAGGAGUUCAUUCACUUUGUGAUCAAUCUGCAUGACCAGAUCACAUCAUGCCCGAUAAAAUUAGAUAGCAAAAUGUAUUGUGGAUUGAAAGCAUUUCUAGAAGCAUGGUUUUCCAUGAAAAGCAAAAACUGAAAAUAAUCAAAAGUACAUUAGCAGUAUAUGAAUUUUAAAACAUUAUUAAGUCAAUCAAUUAAAUACUACAUAAACUUGAAAACAUAUAAGCUAAAUGUAUAUACCCACACAUAUGGAUGAUUUCUACAAAUAUAUUAUCGACCGAAAGAAGCUUUUCAUAAAGUGUUUAAAACAUUUACAUCUUACCAUUUCUUCUUCAUUAUCUAUAGAAAGCAGACUGGAGUUCUUCGAAGUACAGGCCAGCAAACUCUCUUCCCAAGUUCUUCUUUCCUUACCAAUGUAGUAACAACUGUUGGAAUAUGUAAUCCACUCCUCAGGACAAUGGCCACAAUGACGUGCUAAAUAAAGAUAUGAAUUACUAUCUAGACCAAUAUGAAUUUUUAAAAAUGAAAAUUAGUUCACAUAUUUGCAAACAUAUAAACCUAUACGUAUGC
rnacentral:lncRNA from 10 species